rnacentral:rRNA from 1 species
GAUGAACGCUGGCGGCGUGCUUAACACAUGCAAGUCGAACGGAAAGGCCCAAGCUUGCUUGGGUACUCGAGUGGCGAACGGGUGAGUAACACGUGGGUGAUCUGCCCUGCACUUCGGGAUAAGCCUGGGAAACUGGGUCUAAUACCGGAUAGGACCACUUCUUGGAUGUUGUGGUGGAAAGUUUUCUCGGUGUGGGAUGAGCUCGCGGCCUAUCAGCUUGUUGGUGGGGUAAUGGCCUACCAAGGCGUCGACGGGUAGCCGGCCUGAGAGGGUGUACGGCCACAUUGGGACUGAGAUACGGCCCAGACUCCGACGGGAGGCAGCAGGGGGGAAUAUUGCACAAUGGGCGCAAGCCUGAUGCAGCGACGCCGCGUGGGGGAUGACGGCCUUCGGGUUGUAAACUCCUUUCGCUAGGGACGAAGCGUUUUUGUGACGGUACCUGGAGAAGAAGCACCGGCUAACUACGUG